rnacentral:rRNA from 1 species
UAACGCGUAUGCAAACCUACCUAUCAGAGGGGAAUAACCCGGCGAAAGUCGGACUAAUACCGCAGUAAAACAGGGGCACCGCAUGGUGAUAUUUGUUAAAGAAUUCGCUGAUAGAUGGGCAUGCGUUCCAUUAGGUAGUUGGUGAGGUAACGGCUCACCAAGCCGACGAUGGAUAGGGGAACUGAGAGGUUGGUCCCCCCACACUGGUACUGAGACACGGACCAGACUCCUACGGGAGCAGCAGUGAGGAAUAUUGGUCAAUGGGCGGGAGCCUGAACCAGCCAAGUCGCGUGAAGGAAGAAGGAUCUAUGGUUCGUAAACUUCUUUUGCAGGGGAAUAAAGUGCAGGACGUGUCCUGUUUUGUAUGUACCCUGAGAAUAAGGAUCGGCUAACUCCGUGCCAGCCGCGGC